rnacentral:rRNA from 1 species
UACAGAGGGUGCAAGCGUUGUUCGGAAUUAUUGGGCGUAAAGCGCAUGUAGGCGGUCUGUUAAGUCGCGUGUGAAAUCCCUAGGCUUAACCUAGGAAGUGCGCGCGAAACUGGCGGACUUGAGUGCCGGAGAGGGUCGCGGAAUUCCCGGUGUAGAGGUGAAAUUCGUAGAUAUCGGGAGGAACACCAGUGGCGAAGGCGGCGACCUGGACGGACACUGACGCUGAGACGCGAAAGCGUGGGGAGCAAACAG